rnacentral:lncRNA from 1 species
GUUGGAGUGUUUGGUAGAGAUAUGGUUGUUGAAGGUUUCAGUUUUGUGAGGUUUGGGUUUCUUGGCUAUGGUAGGAGGAUGGGCGGUUGGUGUUAAAUGAUCGUUGAGUGUUCUAGCUAAGGCGGCUUUGAUAGGGUGAUGUGUUGGGUGCGAAGUGAUGUUGGGUCUCUGGUUGAUGAUCUAUUUGUUGGUGGUGGUACGGAGUAUGCUCUUGGUAUUGUGGUUGGGUGUAUGGCAUGUUAGGGUUGUAUGUUUAUGGAACGAAAAGUUUGACGAAUAUGGGGUUGUGUGUAGCCGGUCUGACAAUGUUGUUAGGGGUUAGAUGUUGAUGCGUCUGGUGUGUAAGUUUGUUGGAGUGGGUCGUAUAGGUACAUAUCCUUAGCGAUGAACUCAAAACCAACUGAUCUGUACCAAACCAUAUAACUACAACUUGGUUUUUCUUCAUUUGGCAUCACUGCGUCAGUUAAGACAUGGUCAUGGCGGUGCUUCCAUUUGCGACACUCAAAUCUUAUAAAGCUUUGCCAUGGAUUGAAGUUCCAUUAAUCGUUAACUUUGUGCAGAUUCCAUUCUCCUAGGUUUGUUGGGG